CUUUCCCUCUGCAGCUGACAGCUACCCAUACCCACCUCCACAGGCAACUAAGGUCUUGACAUCCUGCCUGUAUCUGAAUGCACCUUUGCUGGACUGGGAAUAGCUCUUUUGGUGACUGACCAAAUCUGGUUGGUACUGCCAGUGAGUACUGAAUAUAAUGAGGCUCGAUCACAUGGCCACUGAUCACAAUCAAGAGACAAUAAAGAAACACAAGAAUACCACCCCUCUGAAGCUACACACACACCCCCAAGGAAAGAUGAGAACAGGAGAUGAAAUGCAACAUAUUCCUCGUGUGUAAUGAGACCAAUAUUUGCAGGUGAGACUAGGAAAGCUUUUGGUAUUAAAGAAAGAGAACACCAAAGUUAAUGUGAAACAGAGACUCAUGGAGUGCUUACACCUUCACAGAAAAAUAGUUAAGAAGGACAUUUUGUAUCAGCAAUUUCAGAUCAAUGUCAGAACCGUGUCAUCAGCUCUUAUUCUUUAGAGCAAGUGGUACCUGCACAGCAUCAGAGUCCAUU